rnacentral:misc_RNA from 1 species
CAUAGCGAGAAUCAUAAUGGCUCGUUAAAUCUCCAUUAUCCACCUUGUGUGCACUGUAGAGUUGGGAAGGAAAAAAAAAAAAAGACUCGUCUUUUUUUUCUUUUCUUUUCUUUUCUCAAAAAUUCACUUGUACUACACAUUUCAGUCUAAUUUAUUACGAGUAAUUAAAACUCUAAUA